rnacentral:rRNA from 1 species
UAAUACGGGGGGGGUAAGCGUUGUUCGGAAUUACUGGGCGUAAAGGGCUCGUAGGCGGCCAACUAAGUCAGACGUGAAAUCCCUCAGCUUAACUGGGGAACUGCGUCUGAUACUGGAUGGCUUGGAUUUGGGAGAGGGAUGCGGAAUUCCAGGUGUAGCGGUGAAAUGCGUAGAUAUCUGGAGGAACACCGGUGGCGAAGGCGGCAUCCUGGACCAAUAUUGACGCUGAGGAGCGAAAGCCAGGGGAGCAAACG